GUCCUCUGAUGAGACAAGAUCACACAGACAAAACAGUGUCAUCCACAGCAAACCUCUGUCUCCCAUUGUGUCUGUACUCUCCUCAUCACCACCACGUGAACACUGCUCCCAGUAAACUGGUCCCAGGACAGAGUAGUAUUCUAUUCUAUAUGAAUGCUUGAAUGGGUUCAUUCUCUGACAUUCACACGAGUUUAUGAGGCAGCUACAUGGAGAAACAGACAAGACACAUGGACAGCAGAGUAUCAGAAAGAGUGAGAGACAUUGUGAGGCACUGCAGUCUUAUGAAAAGUGAGAGUCAACCAAGGCGGAUGCGCUGGGCGGUGGGGGUGGAUGGCGCCCUCUACAGGUAGAGAUGAUUAGAUGACUAAGGCAGAUGCGCUGGGCGGUGGAUGGCGCCCUCUACAGGUAGAGAUGAUUAGAUGACUAAGGCAGAUGUGCUGGGCGGUGGGGGUGGAUGGCGCCCUCUACAGGUAGAGAUGAUUAGAUGACUAAGGCAGAUGCGCUGGGCGGUGGGGGUGGAUGGCGCCCUCUACAGGUAGAGAUGAUUAGAUGACUAAGGCAGAUGCGCUGGGCGGUGGGGGUGGAUGGCGCCCUCUACAGGUAGAGAUGAUUAGAUGACUAAGGCAGAUGCGCUGGGCGGUGGGGGUGGAUGGCGCCCUCUACAGGUAGAGAUGAUUAGAUGACUAAGGCAGAUGUGCUGGGCGGUGGGGGUGGAUGGCGCCCUCUACAGGUAGAGAUGAUUAGAUGACUAAGGCAGAUGUGCUGGGCGGUGGGGGUGGAUGGCGCCCUCUACAGGUAGAGAUGAUUAGAUGACUAAGGCAGAUGUGCUGGGCGGUGGAUGGCGCCCUCUACAGGUAGAGAUGAUUAGAUGACUAAGGCAGAUGCGCUGGGCAGUGGGGGUGGAUGGCGCCCUCUACAGGUAGAGAUGAUUAGAUGACUAAGGCAGAUGUGCUGGGCAGUGGGGGUGGAUGGCGCCCUCUACAGGUAGAGAUGAUUAGAUGACUAAGGCAGAUGCGCUGGGCAGUGGGGGUGGAUGGCGCCCUCUACAGGUAGAGAUGAUUAGAUGACUAAGGCAGAUGUGCUGGGCAGUGGGGGUGGAUGGCGCCCUCUACAGGUAGAGAUGAUUAGAUGACUAAGGCAGAUGUGCUGGGCAGUGGGGGUGGAUGGCGCCCUCUACAGGUAGAGAUGAUUAGAUGACUAAGGCAGAUGUGCUGGGCGGUGGGGGUGGAUGGCGCCCUCUACAGGUAGAGAUGAUUAGAUGACUAAGGCAGAUGUGCUGGGCGGUGGAUGGCGCCCUCUACAGGUAGAGAUGAUUAGAUGACUAAGGCAGAUGUGCUGGGCGGUGGAUGGCGCCCUCUACAGGUAGAGAUGAUUAGAUGACUAAGGCAGAUGUGCUGGGCGGUGGAUGGCGCCCUCUACAGGUAGAGAUGAUUAGAUGACUAAGGCAGAUGUGCUGGGCGGUGGAUGGCGCCCUCUACAGGUAGAGAUGAUUAGAUGACUAAGGCAGAUGUGCUGGGCGGUGGAUGGCGCCCUCUACAGGUAGAGAUGAUUAGAUGACUAAGGCAGAUGCGCUGGGCUGUGGAUGGCGCCCUCUACAGGUAGAGAUGAUUAGAUGGCUAAGGCAGAUGCGCUGGCCGGUUGAUGGCGCCCUCUACAGGUAGAGAUGAUUAGAUGACUAAGGCAGAUGCGCUGGGCAGUGGGGGUGGAUGGCGCCCUCUACAGGUAGAGAUGAUUAGAUGACUAAGGCAGAUGUGCUGGGCG